UUGAAAACCCUAGGCUCUCCAAUUCGACGAGGACAAAAGAAGAUGUUGCCGUUCCUGGGAAACACCUUGGCUAAGUCUUGCCGCAAGGGGAGCUAGGCUGCAGUGUCGUGAUUUUUCAUCCGUGAGUGAGAAAGCUGUCUCGAAAGUUUAUCGAUACUGCUUCACAGCGGUCUUUGGUGGUGCUGGAUUCCUGCUCGGUGGUGUGACAACAAGCCCCGUCUCUAAGGGGCUCCGGGAAUAUGAAGAGCGCUUCGUUAAAGGUCUCCAACGUCUGGAAAAAAUGGAGGCCAGGAGGGGCAAGUGGAUUUCCUCUCUUAAAGAGAAAACCAAGUGACGGUAAUUGGUUGCGUCUGUUUGUUUCUGUUUUGUCUAUGUUUGCAGCCGUUGAUGAACACAUUAUCUGCCAAUCACUGUAAUAACUACUUCAUGGUUGUGUCUUAUAAAAUAUUUCUGUUA